AUUGAACGCUGGCGGCAUGCUUUACACAUGCAAGUCGAACGGCAGCGCGGGCUUCGGCCUGGCGGCGAGUGGCGAACGGGUGAGUAAUACAUCGGAACGUGCCCAGUAGUGGGGGAUAGCUCGGCGAAAGCCGGAUUAAUACCGCAUACGACCUGAGGGUGAAAGCGGGGGAUCUUCGGACCUCGCGCUAUUGGAGCGGCCGAUGGCAGAUUAGCUAGUUGGUGGGGUAAAGGCCUACCAAGGCGACGAUCUGUAGCUGGUCUGAGAGGACGACCAGCCACACUGGGACUGAGACACGGCCCAGACUCCUACGGGAGGCAGCAGUGGGGAAUUUUGGACAAUGGGCGAAAGCCUGAUCCAGCAAAGCCGCGUGUGUGAUGAAGGCCUUCGGGUUGUAAAGCACUUUUGGCGGGAACGAAAAGGACUGUGCCAAUACCACGGUUCGAUGACGGUACCCGCAGAAUAAGCACCGGCUAACUACGUG
rnacentral:rRNA from 1 species